rnacentral:rRNA from 1 species
UACGUAGGGUGCCAGCGUUAAUCGGAAUUACUGGGCGUAAAGCGUGCGCAGGCGGUUAUGUAAGACAGAUGUGAAAUGCCCGGGCUUAACCUGGGAACUGCAUUUGUGACUGCAUGGCUAGAGUUUGGCAGAGGGGGGUAGAAUUCCACGUGUAGCAGUGAAAUGCGUAGAUAUGUGGAGGAACACCGAUGGCGAAGGCAGCCCCCUGGGUCAAGACUGACGCUCAUGCACGAAAGCGUGGGGAGCAAACAGG